GGCGGCGUGCCUAAUACAUGCAAGUAGAACGCUGAAGGAGGAGCUUGCUUCUCCGGAUGAGUUGCGAACGGGUGAGUAACGCGUAGGUAACCUGCCUGGUAGCGGGGGAUAACUAUUGGAAACGAUAGCUAAUACCGCAUAAGAGUAGAUGUUGCAUGACAUUUGCUUAAAAGGUGCAAUUGCAUCACUACCAGAUGGACCUGCGUUGUAUUAGCUAGUUGGUGGGGUAACGGCUCACCAAGGCGACGAUACAUAGCCGACCUGAGAGGGUGAUCGGCCACACUGGGACUGAGACACGGCCCAGACUCCUACGGGAGGCAGCAGUAGGGAAUCUUCGGCAAUGGACGGAAGUCUGACCGAGCAACGCCGCGUGAGUGAAGAAGGUUUUCGGAUCGUAAAGCUCUGUUGUAAGAGAAGAAACGAAGUGUGAAGAAGUGGAAAGUUUCAACAACUGGGACGGAU
rnacentral:rRNA from 1 species